UGCCAUCAGCCGCGGUAAUACGGAGGGUGCAAGCGUUAAUCGGAAUUACUGGGCGUAAAGGGCGCGUAGGUGGUAUCUUAAGUUGGGUGUGAAAUCCCCGGGCUCAACCUGGGAAUUGCAUCCAAAACUGGGAUGCUAGAGUGUGGUAGAGGGUAGCGGAAUUUCUGGUGUAGCGGUGAAAUGCGUAGAUAUCAGAAGGA
rnacentral:rRNA from 1 species